GGGUUGUGAGGUUAAGCGACUAAGCGUACACGGUGGAUGCCCUGGCAGUCAGAGGCGAUGAAGGGCGUGCUAAUCUGCGAUAAGCGCCGGUAAGGUGAUAUGAACCGUUAUAACCGGCGAUACCCGAAUGGGGAAACCCAGUGUGAUUCGUCACACUAUCAUUAACUGAAUCCAUAGGUUAAUGAGGCGAACCGGGGGAACUGAAACAUCUAAGUACCCCGAGGAAAAGAAAUCAACCGAGAUUCCCCCAGUAGCGGCGAGCGAACGGGGAGGAGCCCAGAGCCUGAAUCAGCAUGUGUGUUAGUGGAAGCGUCUGGAAAGGCGCGCGAUACAGGGUGACAGCCCCGUACACAAAAGCGCAUGUGUUGUGAGCUCGAUGAGUAGGGCGGGACACGUGGUAUCCUGUCUGAAUAUGGGGGGACCAUCCUCCAAGGCUAAAUACUCCUGACUGACCGAUAGUGAACCAGUACCGUGAGGGAAAGGCGAAAAGAACCCCGGCGAGGGGAGUGAAAAAGAACCUGAAACCGUGUACGUACAAGCAGUGGGAGCACAGGUUUACCUGUGUGACUGCGUACCUUUUGUAUAAUGGGUCAGCGACUUAUAUUCUGUAGCAAGGUUAACCGUAUAGGGGAGCCGGAGGGAAACCGAGUCUUAAUUGGGCGUUAAGUUGCAGGGUAUAGACCCGAAACCCGGUGAUCUAGCCAUGGGCAGGUUGAAGGUUGGGUAACACUAACUGGAGGACCGAACCGACUAAUGUUGAAAAAUUAGCGGAUGACCUGUGGCUGGGGGUGAAAGGCCAAUCAAACCGGGAGAUAGCUGGUUCUCCCCGAAAGCUAUUUAGGUAGCGCCUCGUGAAUUCAUCUCCGGGGGUAGAGCACUGUUUCGGCUAGGGGGCCAUCCCGGCUUACCAACCCGAUGCAAACUGCGAAUACCGGAGAAUGUUAUCACGGGAGACACACGGCGGGUGCUAACGUCCGUCGUGAAGAGGGAAACAACCCAGACCGCCAGCUAAGGUCCCAAAGUCAUGGUUAAGUGGGAAACGAUGUGGGAAGGCCCAGACAGCCAGGAUGUUGGCUUAGAAGCAGCCAUCAUUUAAAGAAAGCGUAAUAGCUCACUGGUCGAGUCGGCCUGCGCGGAAGAUGUAACGGGGCUAAACCAU
rnacentral:rRNA from 2 species